AAAAGAACCAAAAAAAAAAAAAAAACUUUUGAUUAAAGUUUCCAGAAAACUGCAUUUGCAAGUGAUAAGUUCAAAAACCCUACCUGGUUAGGGCACACUGCGGCUUUGAGGCAAUUCCUAUAGUGCUCUGCCCCACACAGUGCAGAGGUGGCUGGCGGGCUCUGGGGUACAAGUCAGAGUCAUGCCCCCUUGUGUCCACCAUCCUCUGAUUGGCCACAGGCAAGUCCCCAAGCUCCCUCAGUUUCCUUGGCUGUAGGAUAGGGUGAUAUUAGUUCUUAGCCUGUCAGGUUGCUCUGAAAAUCACUUGAGUAUCGCACAAGGUAAGCCUGUGUAUCACCAGAUGACUAAACUGCCCUAAAUAGGUUGGGUGACCUGCUUAAGAGCAGAUCGGCAAAAGGAGCUGGAACCUGGAGCUGGCGUCCUACCUGAGUGAGGCCACUGCGUCUCCUGUCCAUAAAGGCAAUACGCAAAGAAUUCGCUUGUUUCCAUUGUUUAAAUGGGAACUUUGAGUAAAUGUUAAGUAGAUGGCUGUUUUUGUGCCUGGGUUUUAUUUUGUUUGAAGACGGUGUGCUCUGUACACUUGAAUGGUGUCCACAACAGUGCAAGUGGCAGGAAGACAUGGAGCAGCCUCAGAUCCAGUCACAUUCUGAGUAUUCAGGCUUAGAGCACCCAAGCAAGCACAUCCCUCAAGGACAGCAGGGACCUUCGAAGCUGCCUUGUGCUAGGACAAGCCCAGCCUGUGCUUGGGGAUCCUUGGGUGACUGUUCAACCGUGAGUAUUUUUUUUUUUUGAAGCACACUGAUUCUUGCUUAGAAACAGCAUUCUGUCAAGGGAAGAGUUUCAAAGAACUAUCUUUGCUGGUGUGUGUGUGUGUGUGUGUGUGUGUGUGUGUGUGUGUGUGUGUGUGUAGUACAUUUCACACUUACUAUAACUACAGAAGCAAACAUGACCUACAGACAACCAUGGGAGCUAAGAAUUAGAUUUAUUUUUUAUUUUUAUAGCAUAUGCAGCAUAAAAAUGAAGUUUUGUUAUCUUAGAUCAGUAUACUGGAGCACAAAAAUGAAAGAUGCACAUUGAGGAAGUAUUUGUGUGUUUAUGUGCAGAAAGACUUGUGAUUCCUGGUGCUUUGUUUUCCCACCAGUGCUAGCAAAUAAGCUUCAGAAGAGAUCAAAGAAAGUGCGUCGUACCUGUGUAGAAGCAGAGGCGUAGAGAAGAUAGCCCUGGCAUUGCAUAUGCUGCUCUCUGUGUUAGCUAUGCUGUCUGCCUCCUCCUGAUCACUUUUCCAGACCACAUCCUUAAUUAGUGUAAAGGGUGCUUGGUGGGUGAUUGCUAUGGGUGUUCUUACUCUCCCACUGAGGGCGGAGUAGAGGGUAUAGCCUAUCGUGUUAUGUCUAUUUACUGAGUAUACUAAGUUAUGUCCUAAUGCUUCAGAGUUAGAGUUAUCAAUCUGUUCUAGAUUCUAGCCCUCCAUGCCCCUCCCCCGAGAUGCUGGCAGACGCCAUGAAUCCUUUAAGCACACCAUUACACAUUGGCUUGCAUAUGGAGACCUCCACAGAAAUGGAGAAGCCUCUCCAGAUGCCCUAGGCAUAGGACCCUGGACUCUGGGGGCCUUAUCCUACUGAGCAGUUAGAGUUCCCAAAGAACUGCUGUUGAAAGCAGGAAAUACCCAGGGCAGAAGUCACUCUCUGUGGCUGCUGGGUGGGGAUACAGAGCCAGAGAAAAGACAAAAGGGUGGAGAACACAUGACUAAGUAAAUAGUGGAGAGUGGUUGAUAACAUCAGGACCGUCACAUGAGGAGCCCAGAAUCCCUGUCUGGUUACCCAGGCACACAUCUGUAAAAGAGUAUGGGUUUAGGAGAGAUCUAAGGACUCGUCAUAAACCACUUUGGCUAGUUUUUCUCAACCCAGGUUUUCCUCAUUUUUUACUCCAUAAAAUUUAGUGUCUGUCUGUCUGCCUUUCUCCCUUCCUCCCUCCCCCCCUCUCUCCCUCGCUCGUGUGCUCUCUUUAUUUCGUUUGUGUUUCCUUUGUGUAUGCCACCAAAUCAGGUAGGGUCACCUGAACUUGAAGGAGUAAUUCAUAACAAAUUGGAGAGAUGGUUUUUGACCUGGAAGAAAUGUGGUACGGCUGAGUAUGUGAGGAGGUUGUUGAAUACAAAAGGAACAGUGUCUGAAAAAAAAAAAUACAUAGCCCUUAUUGCUCAUAAGCUAUAUUGAAACCAGUACCGUGGGGCCACUGUGGAACAAGACGACACAAAUGUGUUAGGAGGAGUGUGCCACAGAGGUUAAGAGGAGCAGAGGACAUUAGCCAGACUCGGUGCACUCACUUUGAGUCACAUUCGAAGAAAGAUGUUCAGCGAUUGGGAAGCGCUGGUGCACAAUCAACAGAAAUUACAAACCCUUCUAGGAAAAGAUGAAGGGACUGAAGGGUUUAGUCUGACGUGGGCAGGGAAGGGCUUGCUGCUGACAGUCCUAUGUAGUAACUGCUUGGUUUCCCUUGUCUCCUUGGAUCUCCAUGCUGCCCACUCGGUCUUCUCUGCAGCACGAUGUCAUGAUACAGGGAUAAUCAGUACAUUUUCUGGCCGUGAUAAAUAGUUCAGAAAGGGGAUAAAAUACUUAAGCCUAGGCAUGUGAUGAAAUCUCUGGUGAUAACUUUCUAAAGAUGAAAGUAGGUAGCUAUUUUGAGUAUUAGAACGUUUCUGUCUUCAACACAUAGGGCCUACUGUGAUAGGCAGGUACAAAGGGAGAUAACGGUGCUUGAUUACACUAUUGUGGGGACAUAAAGCAUUAUGUGGUAGGUGCCUGUGGCAUUCAGCCACCUCCCCAUGUGGCUUCCUGAUGGAGUCGAAGUCCAGACUGCAUCCUAAAGAGCAGCCAUUGAGGUUAGCACGAUGAAGGAGUUAGUAGUGAGCCAAGGACUAGGGUGCCACAGGAGGUGGCCUAGAGAUCCCCACGAGUGGUCUGGUGAGGUGUAUGACUUGGGAAGAUGAGCAGGCAUCAGGUAAGAGGACUUGGUUGGGGGACAGGUUGGGCGAGGUAAGGAGGCUCCUGACUCAGCAGAGCUGUUAAGCAUAUUUGAAGGUAGGGAAUUCCAGAGAGAGGAGUGAACUGGCAGAUAAGGCAGUCAGCAUAAUGGCUUAGAUACCAUGUGCUAUCGCUCACUAUGCACCCAUGACACAAGAUCACAGAAGUACAGGCCUGGACCAUGGCAGAGUAUACACUGGUUGGGUAAAUGAAGAGGAGAGACAGAGUGGGAAGUCGGCUUAGUGGAUAUGGACUUCAAAUUUGAUGAACAAGCAAUUCAAAUGAGUAUCGUGGGCUUGACUGGUAUGAAGACCCGUUUGCAAAGCAGUGGUCAUAAGAGAGAAAAGAGAGAGAGAGAGAGAGAGAGAGAGAGAGAG
ensembl:lncRNA